rnacentral:lncRNA from 1 species
CUUUUUAUAUGGCAUUCAAGUUGAGUUCCAAGUUCAACCGUCCAAGUGUUACCCUGCCUCCUCCCACACGAAUUACUUCUGCAGGUGAAGGAGACGAGCCAACUAGCUCCGCCCCGUUCCCCGAAGCCUAGUCUCCCGGGAAUCUUUUUAAAAAUCCCCACACAGUGUCUGCGAAGGCCUCCCGCCCAGCGGGACUCGGCUGCUUCUGGCUAGGGCGAGAUAUUGUUCUCCCGUACAUAUGAUCCAGACUAGCUCCAGGAGCCAGUCAAGAGAUUUUGCCACAGGAUCUAGGACAUAAGGAUUUACCUCCUAUCACCCACCUUGCAGAUCUCCUAGGGACCUUUCGCCGCCUUCUGCUGCAAAUGAUUGGACAUCCAUUUGCAUUUCCUCUUCCAUCAUGUGGGGAAACCUUUUGUUUACUGUGCUCCAGGCUGGACCUGGCCUGAAAGUGGGUCCUUGAAUUACCUUUGUACUAUUCCAACUUGCCAAGGUGGUUUUGAGACCUGAGGGCCGUAUUCAAGCAUGGGCGUUAGGCCAAGUAUAUAUGUAAUCCAUAUGGUACCAACGGUGGGCCCCAAAGAUAACAGCAUCUGUAGCUGGACCAGAAGACAAGCUACGAUGAAAACUAAGAUUUCAUCCUCUGUGAUGAUCUUCUCCACCACCAGCACCACCAAUGCAUUCCUGAAAGAAGGACCAAAGUAAUGCCAAGAACCCCCAAAUGAAGAGGACCUUCCUGGAUCUGUAACUGGGAUUAUUUAAUCAAUUUUGUACUUCAAGAGAAAGUUUCCACUAAUUCUGAGGAUAAAGCCAAACAGGCCUGACAGUCCCUUGAGUACUGACAGUGUAAACAAGCUUCUGGCUUCCCCAGGUCGAGCAGAGAAACACUUUUCAUUAGAAUGUUGGGUUUCUUCUUUGUUAUUCAAACAUACACCCACACAUAUCCUCUUCACCCUGGCUAAUGAAAAACCUCAACAGAUGGAGAGCCUAGGCUCCCCAGACUUAUGGCUGAGGAGAUGCACUUCCUUCAGUGUGGGUUGGCUGGUACAGAAUGGGGGAGGGAGAAGAAAUGAGUAGCUGGUAUAGGUAAUCACUAUCUUUUAAUACUCCUUACAGAUAGAAAUUCGAAAAAUCCUGUUCAGCAAGGUUAGCAGCCUGUGAGGCCUCGGAAGCCAAUUUGGCUGAUGUGUCUCUAAUAGGGACUAGGCUUGGGGCGGCACCAGGGGGAAAGGACUCACUCCAUAUUCUCUCUCUCUCUCUCUCAUUUGAAAGCCUGUACAAAGAAAUGGUACAAAUGGAUGGUUAACUUAAUGAUUCAUCAGAGGCGGAUUUUUCUCUGUC